rnacentral:rRNA from 1 species
UACGGAGGGGGCGAGCGUUAUUCGGAAUUAUUGGGCGUAAAGGGCGCGUAGGCGGCUUGGUAAGUCAAAGGUGAAAUCCCUCGGCUCAACUGAGGAACUGCCUUUGAAACUGCCUGGCUCGAGGCCGGGAGGGGGUAGCGGAAUUCCCAAUGUAGCGGUGAAAUGCGUAGAUAUUGGGAGGAACACCGGUGGCGAAGGCGGCUACCUGGACCGGUUCUGACGCUGAUGCGCGAAAGCGUGGGGAGCAAACAGG